AGCACUUGACAUCCGACUAACGAAGUAGAGAUACAUAAGGUGCCCUUCGGGGAAAGUCGAGACAGGUGGUGCAUGGUUGUCGUCAGCUCGUGUCGUGAGAUGUUGGGUUAAGUCCCGCAACGAGCGCAACCCCUGCCAUUAGUUGCUACGCAAGAGCACUCUAAUGGGACCGCUACCGACAAGGUGGAGGAAGGUGGGGACGACGUCAAAUCAUCAUGCCCCUUAUGUGCUGGGCUACACACGUAAUACAAUGGUCAUCAACAAAGAGAAGCAAUACCGCGAGGUGGAGCAAAACUCAAAAAAUGAUCUCAGUUCGGACUGCAGGCUGCAACUCGCCUGCACGAAGUUGGAAUUGCUAGUAAUCGUGGAUCAGCAUGCCACGGUGAAUACGUUCCCGGGUC
rnacentral:rRNA from 1 species